UUCAUAGAGUGUAAAGGCAUAAGGGAGCUUGACUGCGAGACCUACAAGUCGAGCAGGGUCGAAAGACGGACUUAGUGAUCCGGUGGUUCCGCAUGGAAGGGCCAUCGCUCAACGGAUAAAAGCUACCCCGGGGAUAACAGGCUUAUCUCCCCCAAGAGUUCACAUCGACGGGGAGGUUUGGCACCUCGAUGUCGGCUCAUCGCAUCCUGGGGCUGUAGUCGGUCCCAAGGGUUGGGCUGUUCGCCCAUUAAAGCGGUACGCGAGCUGGGUUCAGAACGUCGUGAGACAGUUCGGUCCCUAUCCGUCGUGGGCGUAGGAAAUUUGAGAGGAGCUGUCCUUAGUACGAGAGGACCGGGAUGGACAUACCUCUGGUGUACCAGUUGUCGUGCCAACGGCAUAGCUGGGUAGCUAUGUGUGGACGGGAUAAGUGCUGA
rnacentral:rRNA from 1 species